rnacentral:tRNA from 1 species
AUAGCAUAUGUAAUGUGUUUCGUUUACAUCGAAAAGAAUUCUUUAAAUUGUAAAGUUACUUUUA